rnacentral:tRNA from 1 species
GGCGAUAUAGCUCAGUUGGUAGAGUGCUUGCCUAGCAUGCAUAAGGCCCUGGGUUCAAUCCCCAGUACCA